GACGAACGCUGGCGGCGUGCCUAAUACAUGCAAGUAGAACGCACAGUUUAUACCGUAGCUUGCUACACCAUAGACUGUGAGUUGCGAACGGGUGAGUAACGCGUAGGUAACCUGCCUGGUAGCGGGGGAUAACUAUUGGAAACGAAAGCUAAUACCGCAUAAUAUUCAUUAUUGCAUGAUAAUUAAUGGAAAGGUGCAAUUGCACCACUACCAGAUGGACCUGCGUUGUAUUAGCUAGUAGGUGAGGUAACGGCUCACCUAGGCGACGACACAUAGCCGACCUGGGGAGGGGGUCCGCCCAACCGGGACUGGGGACAGGCCCAGACUCCUACGGGAGGCCGCAAGAGGGGAAUGUCGGCAAUGGACGAAAGGCUGGCCGGGCAAAGCCGCGUGGGGGAAGAAGGUUCUCCGAUCGUAAAGCUCUGUUGUAAGGGAAGAACGGGUGUGAGAGUGGAAAGUUCACACUGUGACGGUAUCUUACCAGAAAGCGACGGCUAACUACGUG
rnacentral:rRNA from 1 species